rnacentral:rRNA from 1 species
GUCUACGGCCAUGCCACCCUGAACAAGCCCAAUCCCAUCUGAUCUUGGAAGCUACGCAGGGUCGGGCCUAGUUAGUACUUGGAUGGGAGACCAGGUGCUGUAGGCA